GAUGAACGCUAGCUACAGGCUUAACACAUGCAAGUCGAGGGGAAACGAUGAGAGAGCUUGCUCUCUUAGGCGUCGACCGGCGCACGGGUGAGUAACGCGUAUCCAACCUACCCAUUACAGGGGGAUAACCUUGCGAAAGUAAGACUAAUACCCCAUGGCAUUUUAUGGUGGCAUCAUUAUAGGAUUAAAGAUUUAUUGGUAAUGGAUGGGGAUGCGUCUGAUUAGCUUGUUGGCGGGGUAACGGCCCACCAAGGCAACGAUCAGUAGGGGUUCUGAGAGGAAGGUCCCCCACAUUGGAACUGAGACACGGUCCAAACUCCUACGGGAGGCAGCAGUGAGGAAUAUGGGUCAAUGGGCGAGAGCUUGAACCAGCCAAGUAGCGUGCAGGAUGACGGCCCUAUGGGUGGUAAACUGCUUUUAUAGGGGAAUAAAGUGAGCUACGUGUAGUUUAUUGCAUGUACCCUAUGAAUAAGGACCGGCUAAUUCCGUG
rnacentral:rRNA from 1 species